CCGGGCAGGGACGGGGGAGCCGGGAAGGCUGGAGCGGCAGGAUGGGGGACUCCAAAGUGAAGGUGGCGGUGCGUGUCCGCCCCAUGAACCGGCGAGAGCUUGAUCUGCAUACAAAAUGUGUGGUGGAUGUGGAUGCAAACAAGGUUAUUCUUCACCCCGUAAACACCAACCUUUCAAAAGGAGAUGCCAGCAGAACUCACCCAAAGGUGUUUGCAUAUGAUCACUGCUUUUGGUCUAUGGAUGAAUCUGUCAAAGAAAAAUACGCAGGUCAAGAUGUUGUUUUCAAGUGCCUUGGAGAGAAUAUUCUUCAGAAUGCCUUUGAAGGCUACAACGCUUGUAUCUUUGCCUAUGGGCAAACGGGGUCUGGAAAAUCCUACACCAUGAUGGGUACUGCUGAUCAGCCUGGAUUAAUCCCUAGACUUUGCAGUGGACUCUUUGAAAGAGCACAGAAAGAAGAAAAUGAAGAGCAGAGUUUCAAAGUGGAAGUAUCCUACAUGGAGAUUUACAAUGAGAAAGUCAGAGAUCUCCUUGACCCCAAAGGAAGCCGUCAGUCAUUAAAGGUUAGAGAACACAGUGUUUAUGGCCCUUACGUAGAUGGCCUAUCCAAACUAGCUGUUGCUAGCUACAAGGACAUCGAGUCCUUGAUGUCUGAGGGGAACAAAUCUCGGACAGUGGCUGCCACCAACAUGAAUGAGGAGAGCAGUCGGUCCCACGCUGUCUUCAAGAUCAUCCUCACCCACACCCUCUAUGAUGUGCAAUCAGGGACAUCAGGUGAGAAGGUGGGCAAGCUCAGCCUGGUGGACUUGGCAGGUAGUGAAAGAGCAACUAAAACUGGUGCUGCAGGAGACAGGCUGAAAGAGGGAAGCAACAUUAACAAAUCCCUCACAACUCUGGGGCUGGUUAUUUCUGCCCUGGCAGAUCAGGCUGCUGGCAAGAACAAGAACAAAUUUGUUCCAUAUCGUGAUUCUGUGCUCACUUGGUUACUUAAAGACAGCCUCGGGGGCAACAGCAAGACAGCCAUGGUGGCCACGGUGAGCCCGGCGGCCGACAACUACGACGAGACGCUGUCGACGCUGCGCUACGCAGACAGGGCCAAGAACAUCGUCAACCACGCCGUGGUCAACGAGGACCCCAACGCCCGCAUCAUCCGCGAGCUCCGCGAGGAGGUGGAGAAGCUGCGGGAGCAGCUCACCAAGGCUGAGGCUAUGAAAUCACCAGAAUUAAAAGAACGAUUGGAGGAAUCAGAAAAGUUGAUUCAGGAGAUGACCGUGACCUGGGAAGAAAAAUUACGAAAAACUGAGGAGAUAGCUCAGGAGCGUCAGAAACAGCUGGAAAGCCUUGGCAUAUCCCUGCAGUCCUCUGGAAUUAAAGUUGGGGAUAAUAAAUGCUUCCUGGUUAAUUUGAAUGCAGAUCCAGCUCUCAAUGAACUCCUGGUGUAUUAUUUAAAGGAGCACACGUUAAUAGGCUCAGACAACUCUCAGGAUAUCCAGCUGUGUGGAAUGGGAAUUCUGCCUGAGCACUGCAUCAUAGACAUUACCCCAGAAGGCCAGGUUAUGCUGACCCCUCAAAAAAAUACCAGGACAUUUGUAAAUGGCUCUGCUGUCGUGUGUCCCAUCCAGCUCCACCAUGGAGACAGAAUCCUGUGGGGAAAUAACCACUUCUUCAGGCUGAAUUUGCCAAAGAAGAAAAAGAAGGCAGAUCAUGAGGAUGAGGAGCGGGAUAACUCCAUGAAGUGCAGCAACAGUGUGGAGCAGCUGGAUAUAGAUGGAGACAAUUCCAGUGAAGUGUCCAGUGAAAUUAACUUCAGCUAUGAAUAUGCCCAGAUGGAAGUCACCAUGAAGGCUCUUGGUAGUAAUGACCCAAUGCAGUCAAUCCUGCAAAGCCUGGAGCAGCAGCACGAGGAGGAGAAGAGAUCAGCUCUGGAGAGGCAGAGGCUGAUGUACGAGCACGAGCUGGAGCAGCUGCGGCGCCGGCUCUCUCCCGAGAAGCAGCAUUUCCGCAGCAUGGACAGGUUCUCCUUCCACUCCCCCAGUGCCCAGCAGCGCCUCAGGCAGUGGGCAGAGGAGAGGGAAGAAAUGCUGACCCACAGCCUGAGGAAGCUGCGAGAGCAGAUUGUUAAAGCCAAUUUGUACGUGAGAGAAGCCAAUUUUAUCGGAGAGGAGCUGGACAAGAGGACAGAGUACAAAGUGACCCUCCAGAUCCCAGCUUCAAGCCUUAAUGCCAACAGCAAGAGAGGUGCAAUUCUCAGUGAGCCUGCAAUCCAGGUGAGGAGGAAAGGGAAAGGCAAACAGAUCUGGUCACUGGAAAAGCUGGAGAAUCGACUGGUGGAUAUGAGGGACCUUUACCAGGAGUGGAAAGACUGUGAGGAAGACAAUCCAGUGAUGAGAGCUUAUUUCAGGAGAGCUGAUCCCUUCUAUGACGAGCAGGAAAACCACAGCCUUAUUGGAGUAGCCAAUGUUUUCCUUGAGUGCCUGUUCUACGAUGUGAAGCUUCAAUAUGCUGUUCCAAUCAUCAAUCAGAAGGGAGAGGUUUCAGGUCGUCUGCACGUGGAAGUUGUUCGAGUGAGCGGGGAAAUCGAUGACAGGCUGGUGGGAGGUGAGGACAGUCCUGACUACUCAAAUGAAAAUGACAUCCAGGAGAGAAAACUUGUCUGCAGGAUUAAAAUACUUCAAGCUACAGGUUUGCCACAGCACUUGUCCAACUUUGUGUUCUGCAAAUACACAUUCUGGGAUCAAGUGGAGCCAGUUAUUGUUGCACCUGAGGUGGAUCCUUCCCAGUCUUCCAUCAGCAAGGAGCCACGAUGCAUGGUUGUCUUUGACCACUGCAAUGAGGUUUCUGUGAAUAUUUCUGAAGACUUCAUGGAACAUCUUUAUGAUGGUGCUUUGGCCAUUGAAGUUUAUGGGCACAAGCAGAGUGGUGACCGAAAAAACCCAGCCCUGUGGGAUUUGGGAAUAAUUCAAGCCAAAACACGCAGCCUUCGGGACAGGUGGAGUGAGGUGACGCGCAAAGUGGAGCUGUGGGUUCAGAUCCUGGAGCUGAACGAGAACGGGGAGUACUGCCCAGUUGAGGUGACCCCUGCCAAGGAUGUCAGCACAGGAGGCAUCUUCCAGCUCAGACAGGGGCAAUCUCGACGAAUCCAGGUUGAAGUGAAGUCUGUGCAGGAAUCUGGGACCUUGCCACUGAUGGAGGAAUCCAUAUUAUCUGUUGGUGUUGGCUGUGUUCAAAUAAAACAUGUCAAGUCACAAAAUUAUCAGGAAGAAGAGGAUGAAAUGGACAGUUAUCAGGACAGGGACUUGGAGAGGCUCCGUCGGAAGUGGCUCUGUGCCUUAACAAAGCGCCAGGAGUACCUUGAUCAGCAGCUGCAGAAACUCGUGGGGAAGCCUGAUAAAACAGAGGACGACGCGGAUCGGGAGGCUCAGCUGUUGGAGAUGAGGCUGACCCUCACUGAAGAAAGGAAUGCUGUGAUGGUUCCUUCUGCUGGCAGUGGGAUCCCUGGAGCUCCAGCAGAGUGGACUCCUGUGGCUGGUAUGGAAACUCACAUUCCUGUUAUAUUCCUUGACUUGAAUGCUGAUGACUUCAGCUCCCAGGAUAACCUGGAUGACCCAGAGGCAGGAGGCUGGGAUGCUACUCUGGUGGCAGAGGAAGAGGAGGAGUUCUUUGAGCUGCAGAUUGUGAAGCAUCAUGACAGUGAGGUGAAAGCAGAAGCCUCGUGGGACUCCACGGUCCACGACUGCAUCCAGCUCAGCAAGGGGACGGCGGCGGAGGAGAGGGUUUACCUGAUUGUCAGAGCCACUGUCCAGCUCAGCCACCCUGCAGAGAUGCAGCUGGUGCUGCGCAAGCGCAUCUGUGUCAACGUCUAUGGCAGACAGGGUUUUGCACAGAGUUUCCUCCGAAGAAUGUCCCCCCGAAGUUCCAUCCCUGGCUGUGGCGUCACUUUUGAGAUAGUCUCAAACAUUCCAGAGGAUGCUCAAGGGGCUGAGGAGCGGGAGGCACUGGCCAGGAUGGCAGCAAACGUGGAAGAUGCAGCUUCAGCUGACUCUGAAGCCUACAUUGAGAAGUACCUGCGGAGCGUCCUGGCCGUGGAGAACAUCCUCACCCUGGACCGGCUGCGCCAGGAAGUUGCUGUAAAGGAGCAGCUGAUGGGAAAAGGAAAACUCUACCGCAGGAGCCUGAGCUCCCCCAACGUGAAUCGGCUUUCUACAAGCCGCCAGGAUUUAGCUCCCCCUUAUAACCUGAGCAGCAACAGGAGUCCAAAGGUCCCAGCAGAGGGUCGAUGGGAGAGUCAACAAGAUGUGUCCCAAGGUGCCACAAACUCCAGUAGAGGCAUUAGUCCAUCUCAUACCUCCCUGCCAGGCUCUGGGCAGCAGAACCACUCCCCUGAUCCAGGUAUUGGUAGCCUGGCUGCUUCCUACCUGAAUCCUGUCAAGUCCUUGGUGCCUCAGAUGCCAAAGCUGCUGAAGUCCCUGUUCCCUGUUAGAGAUGAGAAAAAGGGCAGGCAGAGCUCUCCCCUUGCACAGCAGGCUGUCCCACGAAUUAUGGUUCAGUCAGCCAGUCUGGAGGCCAGUGCUGCAAGGAUAAAACAGAUUAACCAAGAGGAAGCAGCAAAGCAGCCACUGGAAACUGUGGCACAGACGCCCGAGGUGGACAAGAGUCUGGAGAAGACACCCAAAGUGCCUUUGCAGCAGCCCACGGGGGACACCCAGCCCCAGGACUGCCAGGAGGGACCUCCAAGCCCCCUGAGUGAAGCCUCCAGUGGGUAUUUUUCCCACAGUGUCUCCACAGCCACCCUCUCCGAGGCCCUGGCAGCGGGAAGCGACGCCAUGGCUCAGCCGGGAGGUCCAACACCUGCAGGGAGUGACUCCCCUGCUCCUGCAGUGGCUCAGGUCCCUUCUGAUGUGCAGGACAGAGCUCCUGAGAGCUCUCUGGCCACAAAGAGGGAGAAUCCCCCCACCUUCAGCCUUCCAAGUGCUCCCCCCAGGCCGAGGGACAGCUCUGAAGUGAAUGGGAAGUCUUGCACUUCUCCUUGUCCCAGCGAGCAGGGGAACGAUGCCUCUGCAGCCACUGAUGCAAAACCUCUUCUCUCUACCUCCACUCCAAAGGAGUCAAUAUCCAAACAAUCAGUGGAGUCAGCAGGACCAGCCAGGAAAAAGGAAACAUCUACUGGGGCUUCAGAACUGGGGUUUCCCAAAGCUCAUCCCGACCUGCCCAGCGCUGCAGCCUCCCCCUUCAAAAUCCAGAAGGUGAAAACAUCAGAGCUGAAAUCCUUUACCAGCAUGCUGGGAGCAGACCCCACGAGUUCCCUGGGCACAGAAGAGCAGCAGGAAGAAGAAAAGAGCACCUCCAGUGCCCGUGGACUGAACCACAACGGGUCAGAGACAGCAGAGGAAAAACUGGAGGUGAUUUCUGACUCUGAAGAUGCCAAUGAAAUUCCUGAGUGGCUGAAAGAGGGAGAAUAUGUCACAGUUGGCACCAAUAAGACGGGCACUGUUAGGUACAUCGGGCCCACAGACUUCCAGGAAGGAACGUGGGUUGGUGUGGAGCUGGAUUUGCCUUCAGGCAAGAACGACGGCUCCAUCGGGGGGAAGCAGUAUUUCAGGUGUAACCCGGGCUAUGGAUUGCUGGUGAAGCCGGGCAGGGUGAGGAGGGCCACGGGCCCGGCGCGGCGCCGCAGCUCCGGCCUGAGGCUGCAGGGAGCGCCGGAGAACAGGAGGAGUGGGAACUUCUCCGGGUCAGCCUCCAACCUGGCCUCCCUCACAGCCCUGGCCAAGGCAGAAGGAGGAUCCACGCUGAGACUGGAGAAGAGCCAGAAAAACGCGGAGAACAGGAAAUCCUGGGCAAACUGAGAGAUCCCAGCCCAGCAAACGCCCUGGGAUGCGGCCGGGGGAGCCGGCGGCUUCGGGAAGUGAAAGCAACCAUCCCAACUUCCAGUUGGUGGCAAACACUAAUGAAGGGUUUGUUCUCUCUGCUCUGGGUGAUUGACAUGAUAAUUCUUUGCCUCGUUGUGGUGCUGGAUCCUUCGUUUCCUGUCUCAAAUCCUGACGCCUCCGGGGGCAACCGACGGCAGCCGGGGCCGGCGCGCGGCGCUGGGUGGGUGUAAUGAGCUCCUUCUCUUCCUCCUUUCGGAGGAAAAUUGGUCAAACCACAGAUUCCCAACAGCCACAAAAUCCUCCCCAGGCACCAGUGCUUCCCUGGAAGUGCAGGGCAGUUCCUGAAGAACCUCCCCACAGUAACAGCUCUGUGGUAAUUCCGUAAGAGCUGUGUCAGUAUUGUGUAAUCCGCCGUGAAAGGGCAAGGUGGGAAUGAUUCCAGACGGGCAGAAAAGUGAAAGUAGAACUUUGUUUGGAGAUAAAAAACCCCCAAAGUCCCUUUAUUUAAAGAAGCAGCAGCCCUUGGGUUAUGUGGCUGGGACCAGUGCCUGUUUGGAUCACUGCCCCGUUAUCCCACUCUCCUGUGGAAAGCAGUGUGACCUUCCCCACUGGUUUGUUGGGAAUGGGAGAAAGCCCAUGGCCAGCUCUGUCUGAUUUUUUAUUUUUGAUCCAUGUAAUCUUUGCUCUCACCAUGACAGGAUCCCCUCUCUCACUUGCCCUAGAGUGGCAGGACCUUCUCCUUGGUUCCUCCCUGUGGACCAAGAGGAUUUGAGGUGUCAGCACUGAAGUGCUUCCCCGUUCCCACCCAGCCUUUGGAGACUCAGAAUUUUGCCAAGCAGGGUGUCUCUGUCCUCGUAACAGGAUCAAUCCAGUCUAUUUAUUUUUAUUUAUUCUUUUAAAACAUGAAAUGUUUGCGCUUUACAAUCAUCCCCCUGCACAGAGGAGCUCUCCCAGCACCAUCCCGAGCGCCGAUCCAAAGAGGAGGUGCCUCUGUCAUCCCCAGAACCAGCCUCUCUCUUGGAAAGGGGGAGGUUUGGGCUGGCUUUUAGAAAACUUGAUUUUAUUUGUGGCUGGUUUUUAUCUGCCUGUGGCACAGGGGAUGUAUCCCUGUCCGUGUGUCCACGCACGGAUCGGCCGACGCUUGUUUUCCUGUCAAAUCCUGAAAAGCCACAGAUUUUUCUAUCCUGAGCUGUUUAUAUCUUGUUUAGUCAUCACGGGGGGAUUGGACAGCCUGAGCAAUAGAUGUUUUAGCUACGUGGGGACUAUUUAGGAUGCUAAAUUAAUGAUUAAACUUUAAUAUCUAUCCAGUCGCUGCCCGUGGGUAUCCAAGUGCCUUAAACAUCUGGUUCCGAGGUCCAAGGGAAAGCUCCAUUGGUAUCAAAGGAGAUAGGGAUGCUUAGUGAAGGAGAUAAUUAUGCUGAUUUACUGUAAUUAAUAUCAUUUAUGCAGAAGGAAUAAAAUUAAAAUAGAAACUAAUCUGUAGCAGAAAUAAGCGGGCUGGGUUCCGAUGCAGCCUGCGUAGAACUGCCAGGGGUUGUGUAUCCUUCCAGCUUGGUGUAAGUAGUUUCAGUGUUUCCUAAAUUUUCCUCAAGAAAUCUUAAUAUAAAAUGUACAGAGCAGCUUUUUAAAGAUAUUUUUAGUGUACAGUUUUCCCUCUUUUUCCCUUUGCACGAAGCUCCUGUCCAUCCAACCCACGAUGGGGGAGGAAUUUGGUAGUAAAGAAUUCUGAUGCUGAAAUCCCGGGUUUUAAAAUGAAAACCGGUUUUAUGAACACAACCCAUACAGUGAAACUCUUCGUUUUGGGGUCUGAGGAGUCUUGCCAAUGAAAGACCACCCACUAAUUAAUUUGAUGCCUCUUACACUGCCUUGUUGGUUCUCUGAACUCCACCCUGACCGUGUUUUUAAUUGCACUUUGUUCUGAUGCGCUGCCGGAAGAAGCUGGUGUGAAGCAGCCCCUCCCCAGAGUUGUGUGUUUUUAGUCUCAGCAUUUCAGAUACUUGGAUUUAGGGAUGUCUUUAAAACCCCUCCAUCUUUGCUCAUUGGCCCCUUUUGGGGAAGAUGCAAAGGGAGGAACCUCCAAGUCCUUUUGAAGCCUCUUUUCUUGUGCUGCUGUCUGGGAAUCCAGGAUUUCCCCAGGGAAAGGUGUCCAGGCUGCAGGAAGGGCAGAGAAGGGCAGGAGCAGAAGGAGCUGGGUUGGUGGUUCCCUGUUUCUGCUGCUGGUUAUAAACUCCUCUGGCCUGUUUGGGCUCCAGCCCUGGCUGUGCUUUGGUGUUUGCACACCUGGGACACGUGGCCAGAGGCUGAUCCGACUGACCUGGCCUGGAUUCCCUCUCCUCCCACCCUCAGUUGUGUUGCAGAACCACAGAGAGGGGUGUGAGGGGUGCUUUGAGCAGCCCACACCUGCUGGGAUAACUAUGGGAUGUCCCUCCUCUGGGACAACUGGUCCUGGAAGCAAAUCUGUUCAGUAGGGCUGGGAUGGUUCCAGGAAUCCGCUGGCACGAGGAGCCUGUGGUGCCUUCAUGGAGGGAGGACCUUGCUCAGAGCUCUGUUGGUUUUCACUAUUUCCUCUGACUUUGGAAACAAAACCUGUCUUGAUAUUGCACCCUAAAAUCACCACAAGCUCCAGAAAGCCAAAAACAUCAAAUUUGGCCAUGAGGGUGUUCCUGGAGGAUUCCCUGACUCUCUCCUGCUCCCUCACAGCUUUCCUGGGCAUGUGAGGUGUUUUCUAAAGGAGUUUUUCAAAUUUUUGGCACAGUGAGUGCACAUUCCUCUACUCAAAGCCAUCUGUCACUUCAUCCCAGCUAAGCCAACUAACCAGAAAAGAGGUAAAAAUCAUCAUGGAGGUAAUAAUAUCUAUUUUUUACUGAUAAUAUUAGCUCUACUCUCAGCCUAAAGGAGGAGGUGCUCUUAACUGGAACCGCCCAGCACUGAGGCUGGUCUGUGAAUAGCUAUGCAGAUUUUUCCAAGAUUUUCAUGCACUUUAUACAGGGAAGAAGAAUAUUUAAUGCAGGAGGGUGUCAUUUGUAUGGAGUGUCUCAUCUCCUCUGGUGUCUCUCGGGGGUUCAGUCCUGCUGGCUGUGUCCCUGAAUUGUGGGUGGGUCUCAGAUUCUUGGAAAAUGGUGUUGGUGGGUUGGAAAGGCUCCAUCCCCCCUGUGUUUGCAGGGCUGGGGGUCCCUCCUCCCGUGGGCACCAAGCCAGCUAAGGGGAGGCUGCUCAGAGGGACUUCUUGAGGUUUUCUCAAGCCAAGCCACACCUUUUUCCUGUGUUAGGUUCAGCUCUUGAGGUGUUUUGAUCUCCAUGUCCAAAAUCAAGCCUGUUCACCCCGAGGUUUUGGCCCUUUGCUGUUCCAUGGUGUUGUUGAGUUGAGGAAAACGAACAGAAGCAAAUUCUGUGUGGUGACACCGCCCAGGUCCUUGAACAGAGGGGUCUGUCCGUGGUUGGGGUGGAAGGUUCAGCACCCCCGUGCUUUCCUACAAAGGCAGAGCCCCCUCAUUGCUCCCCACAGCGGUGGAACCCCACCUGAGCGGGGCCUGAGUGUUGUCCAGCCCUGUCCGUGGCAAUGCUCCCCUUGUCCCACCACCGGUUCCUCCGGUUCUUUGCACAACAUUUCGUUUUCCCAGUGCCUUAUCCCGGGGCUGGGCGGCCUCGGGGUGCCUGGAUUUUAGGGAAUGAGGGGGUGAGGAAUGGUGUGGGCCGGUCACACUUCACAACACCUCGAGCGGGGUCACGAUCAAGUGUCUUGUUCCUCCAUCUCCCGUAUCCAUCUUUGGUUUCUGCCCUCUCCACCGUUCCCAAACCGCGAUCCCGUUGGGUUCCCUGGGAGCCGCUCCCAGCUCGUGUGGCCCUGCCAGGGUCAGACUCUGCAGGGGCUCCGUGUACUUUAAAUGAGCUGAAAUCCAAAGAGACUUUGUAAUGAGCUGUAAAGUUUUUAAUUAUUUCUGUACCAUACUAAAUGACUGUAAUAUUGUAUCAUACGUGCGAUGCCGCCUGCAGGACCUGAAUAAACGUCUUCUUUAGA